rnacentral:antisense_RNA from 1 species
UUGGUUUCUUUUGGGGCCUUUCUCUUGCUUUGCAGAUGACCACCUUCUCCCUGCAUCCUCACCUCAUCCGUCUUCUGAGCACAUCUGUGUCCUCAUCUCCACUUAUAAGGACGCCAGUCAUAUGGGAUUAGGGCCCACCCAUAUGACCCCAUUUCAACUGUCUCCAAGUACAGUCACAUUUGGAGGUACUGGGGGUUAGGAUGUCAACAUAGAACCACUCCAGGGACACAAUUCAGCCGCCUAUGGCACUGGCUGAAGGAGGUGGCCCUGGAGCCAGGCCUGGAACCUGCUGAGACAGAGGGACGGGGUUGCAGGAAGACUGGGCUGCAUCGGCCAAGGUACAGGGUGAGUCGGGCUGGGUGUGGGAAGAAGAAUGGACAAGGGCACACGGGAUGAGGCUGAGAGGUGACUGAGCUUGGCACACAGUGAAGAGGCCCAUGUGCUCCAGUGUGUCUUCUGAUGGCCAACACCUGUGCU